UACGAAGGGGACUAGCGUUGUUCGGAAUUACUGGGCGUAAAGCGCACGUAAGCGGAUUGUUAAGUCAGGGGUGAAAUCCUGGAGCUCAACUCCAGAACUGCCUUGAUACUGGGGAUCUCGAGUCCGGAAGAGGUGAGUGGAACUCCGAGUGUAGAGGUGAAAUUCGUAGAUAUUCGGAAGAACACCAGUGGCGAAGGCGGCUCACUGGUCCGGUACUGACGCUGAGGUGCGGAA
rnacentral:rRNA from 1 species